rnacentral:tRNA from 1 species
UCCUCCGUAGCUCAGCCUGGUAGAGCCUUCCGCUCAUAACGGAAUGGUCACUGGUUCAAAUCCAGUCGGAGGGACCA